rnacentral:rRNA from 1 species
AACGAACGCUGGCGGCAUGCCUAACACAUGCAAGUCGAACGAGACCUUCGGGUCUAGUGGCGCACGGGUGCGUAACGCGUGGGAAUCUACCCUUGGGUUCGGGAUAACAGUUGGAAACGACUGCUAAUACCGGAUGAUGACUUCGGUCCAAAGAUUUAUCGCCCAAGGAUGAGCCCGCGUCGGAUUAGCUAGUUGGUGAGGUAAAAGCUCACCAAGGCGACGAUCCGUAGCUGGCUGAGAGGAUGAUCAGCCACACUGGGACUGAGACACGGCCCAGACUCCUACGGGAGGCAGCAGUGGGGAAUAUUGGACAAUGGGCGAAAGCCUGAUCCAGCCAUGCCGCGUGAGUGAUGAAGGCCCUAGGGUUGUAAAGCUCUUUUGUGCGGGAAGAUAAUGACGGUACCGCAAGAAUAAGCCCCGGCUAACUUCGUGCCAGCCGCCGCGGUAAU